UCUGAGUUUAUAAUAGAGAUAUCAGGCCUGAGGUUUCAGAGAUGGCUUUCUGAAGGAGGCAAAUGAAUGUAGCAGGUAAAGAGAUCUGAGGCAUGUAUUAACUGAAUUGCAAGGUUCAUUGGUGACUAGGGAGUGGGGCUCAAGUGGAGUCUCUGAGUUGAAUCCCUAGUCACACACACACACACACACACACACACAUUUGUUAUGGUAGGAUUAGCAUCUGGUUGCAGUAAGAUAUUGACAAGUGAUACAGGAAAGAAUAUAAAUUAAAGAGUCAGAUCAUGGUCCACAGAAGGCUCUAUAGGACAUGGUAAAGAGUUUAGAAGGAUAGAGAGAAAUAAACAUUGGAGGGUCAAUUAGAAAGUAAACAUACAUGAGACUUGAUGUCAGCCUGAAUAUGG